UCCCUUUGGGGACACCGGCGGACGGCUUAGUAACACGUUCGGUAACCUACCCUCGGGAGGGGGGAUAACCCCGGGAAACUGGGGCUAAUCCCCCAUAGGCCUGGGGUACUGGAAGGUCCCCAGGCCGAAAGGGGCUCUGCCCGCCCGAGGAUGGGCCGGCGGCCGAUUAGGUAGUUGGUGGGGUAACGGCCCACCAAGCCGAAGAUCGNUACGGGCCAUGAUAGUGGGAGCCCGGAGAUGGACACUGAGACACGGGUCCAGGCCCUACGGGGCGCAGCAGGCGCGAAACCUCCGCAAUGCGGGCAACCGCGACGGGGGGACCCCCAGUGCCGUGGCAACGCCACGGCUUUUCCGGAGUGUAAAAAGCUCCGGGAAUAAGGGCUGGGCAAGGCCGGUGGCAGCCGCCNCGGUAAUACCGGCGGCCCAAGUGGUGGCCGCUAUUAUUGGGCCUAAAGCGUNCGUAGCCGGGCCCNUAAGUCCCUGNCGAAACCCCACGGCUCAACCGUGNGGCUUGCUGGGNAUACUGCGG
rnacentral:rRNA from 1 species